GGCAGGGCAAGAUGAUGCCUAAGGAAAGAAUUUUAAGACAAAUCCCUCCCUACCCCCACACACUCAUACAAAACUCGUGUCACAAUAAUAACUAUGUUUACUGAGUACUUAUUUUGUGCUGGUCACUUACUCACAUGCAGAUGAUUUCAUCUAGAGACCCCUCACCCCCAGUGGCCCUAUGAUGUAGGUUCCAUAAUUAGCCCCAUUCGCUGGUGGAGAAAUCAAGACUCAAAGUGGCAAGAGGUGAAGCUGGAAUUUGGGUGUGAAUAUGCUAGACUCAGAGCCUGUGCUCUUGACCUCUGUCAGUAUCCAAGAGAAACCGGGUAGGUUGGAUAGCAGUCAAGCAAGAGCCCGGGCAGAGAGGCGGGAGCCUGGGUGCUCACCUGGCUCUGUGUGACUAAGAGUGGGUCACUUCCUUUGUUUAGCGCUGAGUUCCCUCAGCUGGCUCUGCGCCAGGCACUGAGGAAAUGCAGAAAACCUCCAUUCUCUAGGUGGUUUGCUCCCGGGGCAGCAGAUAAACCAGCACCAUCCAUUUGAUAUGAUAUGACAAGAGUCAGUAAGUAUUUCUUCUCCCUUGGUUCUACUGUCCCCUGGGAGAUGUCAAGCAAGAAGUUGGAAAGUCAAAGGUUGCAAACCCAAAAACUGACAGAGCAAGUGUGGAAUGCAGAAAGACUGGAGUCUUGGCUCUACCACUUCCAGCUCUGCGACCCCAAAUUCUGCAUCUGCCUGCAGGUGUCUUAAUGAGGCAUCUAAGAUCACCAAGUCCUAUCAGCAUAAUAUCAUCAAUAAACCGGACCAACGCGAUCCUUGUGGGGUGGCGAGAUGGUCGUGCGGAGCUGGAGGACUGACCGGCUGAAGGAAGGCACUCACGGUGAGCUGCUCUCCCGGCCAGCGAUGUCAAACUGAUUUGGAAAAAUGUUGGGGUUUAGAGCUGAUGGCCAAGGAAGAAUCCUUGAGCCAUCUUCUGUGUGAGAAGGUGGUUUUAUUAAAGCCCAGGGACAGGACCUGUGGGCAGAAGGAGCUGCACCGGGGUCAUGAGGAGGGGCCGAUUACACUUUCAAGUUGGGAAGGGCUUAGGGAUAGCGUAAGUCUCUAAGGAAUUUUGGAAGCAAGGUUUCCAGGACCUUGAGGGGGCUAGCUUUUGGGAAAAGGUCAUUUAUUACCGUCUAAUAAAACCUUAGUCAUGAGACCCUUCAGAUGUAUAUCGGUGGUCCAUAUGCUUGUGGGAUGAUUGCCAGCAUGCAUCCUGAGGAUAGAGAUAGAGGAAGUUGCCAAAGGAAUUUUUAUAUGCUAAAGUAGACUUGCA
rnacentral:lncRNA from 1 species